CUGUCAAGUUCCUAAAACUCUGCGAGGUUCGUUAGCUCCACCAAUUCUGCUGGCACAGCAUCUUCUCCACCCACUCCUUUCUCUUUAUUUACACUGUCACUCCUCUGGGUCUGCCCUCUGCUUUCCUGGUAAACCAUGAUUUUUCUCCUACUGAACCACGAGUCAGUUCACUCCCGGCACCCUGAGGCCCCUGUGAAGGGAUCUGCGGUACUGACAACAGCAGGAAGGCAAGCACUCCACGGGUUUGGACUGGAAAGUGGCACUUGGGAUGUUCUUUUUUGGCUCCUUCUCUCCGGCCAUCCUGAGACCAAUUCUAAUUCUAAAAAUAAUCACAAGAUGUUCCAUUAAGGAUUUUCAACUGAAAAGCAGAACAGCAGAAUCCAAUUCAUGAAAAGGCUCCCAACCAGAGCCCUGGGAGGGACUGCUGAGCUGUGAGCUGCUCUAGCAAAUGAACCGACCCCAAGGAAGAGACCACUGGGAAUCUCCAACCUGCAGCCAGUGGGCCAGAAGCACAGGGGCCUUCGUGGUAUUUACGAGCCUUGACCUCCUCCUUUCAUCCAUGACAGUGACUAGCCACCUCUGAAGAGCCAGAGGUUAACUGAGCAUCCUCCCCUGGCCCCGGGAUGCUGGUUUGUCCGAGUCUCCCCAGAAAACUGAGCGCUGAUCCCCGACAACACGCAGUGGUCUAAACCGGCUCCCCAUCCGCGUGACCUCCCACACAGCCGGUCUUCCUUCUUCUUGCUAAACCCAAAUCUCGAUUUUGUUUGGGUGGCCGGUGUCCAGCCCCAGGAUGAAUCACACACCAGAAAGAAGAGAAUGGAAGUCUGGCCCUUGACCCUUUAACUGGCCUCAUAUGAAUUUCUUAAACAAAAGAUUAAAGAGCAGAGAUUUCUUUUAAAGGAAAAGAAAUUCAGGGGC
rnacentral:lncRNA from 1 species